rnacentral:rRNA from 1 species
CGGUAAUACGGAGGAUGCAAGCGUUAUCCGGAUUCAUUGGGUUUAAAGGGUGCGUAGGCGGACUAUUAAGUCAGUGGUGAAAUCCUGCAGCUUAACUGCAGAACUGCCAUUGAUACUGAUAGACUUGAGUUUGGUUAAGGUAGGCGGAAUGUGUAAUGUAGCGGUGAAAUGCUUAGAUAUUACACAGAACACCAAUUGCGUAGGCAGCUUACUGAGCCGUUACUGACGCUGAGGCACGAAAGCGUGGGGAUCGAACAGGAUUAGAUACCCUGGUAGUCCACGCCGUAAACGAUGAUUACUCGCUGUUGGCGAUACACAGUCAGCGGCUAAGCAAAAGCAAUAAGUAAUCCACCUGGGGAGUACGGCCGCAAGGUUGAA